GGCUCAUUGGUCUAGUCGUAUGAUUCUUAGGGUGCGAGAGGUCCCGGGUUCGAUUCCCGGAUGAGCCC
rnacentral:tRNA from 1 species